rnacentral:lncRNA from 1 species
GGGCAUUCAGAAAUUUUUUUUUAGUUAUCUAUAUGUUUCAAAACAGCAAAAUGGUUCUUUCUUCUCUUUUGGGGCUGCAAUUAAUCAUGAGUCUGUAGAUCUCUUUCAAUUUUGCUUCCGCUAAUAUUUUCUGCAGCUGAUGAUGGAGAGACUCAUGAACUGAGGUUGUCAUCUUAGGACAAAUUCAGCUUUUGACUGGUUGGAAUUACAAGAAAUGGAAGAACCAAGUCGAGUUCUAUUUGGCAAUGAAUUAGAACAUGGAUCUAUGUCUCACUGAAGAACAGCCCUAUGAGCUGGAUGAAGAAAGCACUGAAG